rnacentral:rRNA from 1 species
CGCGUAGGCGGCGCGGUAAGUCACUUGUGAAAUCUCUGAGCUUAACUCAGAACGGCCAAGUGAUACUGCAGUGCUAGAGUGUGGAAGGGGCAAUCGGAAUUCUUGGUGUAGCGGUGAAAUGCGUAGAUAUCAAGAGGAACACCUGAGGUGAAGACGGGUUGCUGGGCCAACACUGACGCUGAUGCGCGAAAGCCAGGGGAGCAAACGGGAUUAGAUACCCCGGUAGUCCUGGCCCUAAACGAUGAAUACUUGGUGUCUGGAGUUUUAAUGCUCCGGGUGCCGUCGCUAACGUUUUUAGUAUUCCGCCUGGGGAGUACGCUCGCAAGAGUGAA